UACGAGGGGGGCGAGCGUUGUUCGGAAUUAUUGGGCGUAAAGGGUGCGUAGGCGGUUUGAUAAGUCUUGUGUGAAAUCUCUGGGCUCAACCCAGAGUCUGCAUAGGAAACUGUCGGGCUUGAAUAUGGAAGAGGGUCGCGGAAUUCCCGGUGUAGAGGUGAAAUUCGUAGAUAUCGGGAGGAACACCAGUGGCGAAGGCGGCGACCUGGGCCAAUAUUGACGCUGAGGUGCGAAAGCGUGGGGAGCAAACAGG
rnacentral:rRNA from 1 species